GGGGCUCUUGCUUUUGCCAGAAGUGGAAAAAACAAGCCUCUUAUAAUCACUGUGGAAGAAAAUGAAACUGUGCUGAAUGAUACCCCAGAUAAACUUGGUAUUGAAGCGCUUCGGGUCUCAAACUAUUGGGAAGCCAUUUGAGUAGUUGCAGCUCACAAGGCAGGGGUUGAUCCAUUCUCUCUUAGAAGAGAUAAAAUUUCUAAUAUCCGCUGCAAGUCUGUGCCUGUC